rnacentral:lncRNA from 1 species
UAAGUAACUAUAACUAUAUGAACUAUAACUAUAGUAAAUGGUGCGUGGCUAAAGGUGUGCAGCAUACCUCUGAGACGGUACUUCUUGCUUAUUUUUGUGAAAUGAGCAAACAAAGUAAAGCCUCCACAUUAUGGUCAAGAUAUUCGAUGUUGCGAGCAGUAUUAAACUUUAGGCAUAUUGUUGAUAUUAGUAAAUACGCAAAAUUGCGGGCAUUUUUGAAAAGGCAGAAUGUGGGAUAUCAAGCUAAAAAGUCAAGUGUUUUUUCUGAAGCAGACAUCGAUACAUUUUUAAACAAUGCCCCGAUAGAAUAUCUUCCUCAAAAGGUAAUUUUAAUUUAUUUAGUGCAUAUUAAAUAUAUGUUAUAUUAAAUUUUUUUAGGUGGCUUUAAUUAUUGGCAUUUCCGGAGCCUGUAGGUGCGAUGAACUUUUAAAAAAGAAAGUAAGUGACCUGGAUAUUUUAGAAAAUCGAAUUAUAAUAGUGAUUCCUGUCACAAAAACCUACUCUUCCCGUACAUUUGUAAUUACAAAAUCGGAAUGGAUAAAAAUAAUAAA